rnacentral:lncRNA from 1 species
AUGCCCUGUCUCUGGCUACGUCCUGGUCAUGUCCUGUCCCUGACUACGUCCCAGUCAGGUUCUAUCUCUGGCUAUGUCCUGGUCGGGUUCUGUCUCUGGCUACGUCCUGGUCGGGUUCUGUCUCUGGCUACGUCCCGGUCGUGUCCUGUCUCUGGCUACGCCCUGGUCGGGUUCUGUCUCUGGCUACGUCCCGGUCGUGUCCUGUCUCUGGCUACGCCCUGGUCAGGUUCUGUCCCUGACUACGUCCCGGUCAGGUUCUGUCUCUGGCUACGUCCUGGUCAUGUCCUGUCUCUGGCUACGUCCCGGUCAGGUUCUGUCCCUGACUACGUCCCGGUCAGGUUCUGUCUCUGGCUACGUCCUGGUCAGGUUCUGUCCCUGACUACGUCCCGGUCAGGUUCUGUCUCUGGCUACGUCCUGGUCAUGUCCUGUCUCUGGCUACGUCCCGGUCAGGUUCUGUCCCUGACUACGUCCUGGUCAGGUUCUGUCCCUGACUACGUCCUGGUCGGGUUCUGUCUCUGGCUACGUCCCAGUCAGGUUCUGUCCCUGGCUACGUCCAAGUCAGGUUCUGUCUCUGGCUACGUCCCGGUCAUGUCCUGUCUCUGGCUACGUCCCGGUCAGGUUCUGUCCCUGACUACGUCCUGGUCAGGUUCUGUCCCUGACUACGUCCUGGUCGGGUUCUGUCUCUGGCUACGUCCCAGUCAGGUUCUGUCCCUGGCUACGUCCAAGUCAGGUUCUGUCUCUGGCUACGUCCCAGUCAGGUUCUAUCUCUGGCUAUGUCCUGGUCGGGUUCUGUCUCUGGCUACGUCCUGGUCAUGUCCUGUCUCUGACUACGUCCCGGUCAGGUUCUGUCCCUGGCUACGUCCAAGUCAGGUUCUGUCCCUGACUACGUCCCAGUCAGGUGUCCUGUCUCUGGCUACGCCCUGGUCGGGUUCUGUCUCUGGCUACGCCCUGGUCGGGUUCUGUCUCUGGCUACGCCCUGGUCGGGUUCUGUCCCUGGCUACGUCCUGGUCGUGCCCUGUCUCUGGCUACGUCCUGGUCAGGUUCUGUCUCUGGCUACGUCCUGGUCGUGCCCUGUCUCUGGCUACGUCCUGGUCAUGUCCUGUCCCUGACUACGUCCCAGUCAGGUUCUAUCUCUGGCUAUGUCCUGGUCGGGUUCUGUCUCUGGCUACGUCCUGGUCAUGUCCUGUCUCUGACUACGUCCCGGUCAGGUUCUGUCCCUGGCUACGUCCAAGUCAGGUUCUGUCUCUGGCUACGUCCUAG